UGAGUUUCCACUUGAGGUUUAAAGUCUUGAAUUUGUAAUGGUACCUAUGCUCAUGAUUAUGUUAUUUUCUCCAAGAGAGAGGUCACCAACCUCAGUGUAAGUGCUGAGUAGGAAUUCAUACUUGUGUUUUCACAGGGUAGACAUAAUAGUCCAUAAGAGGUCUCUGAGAUCCUUGGCACACAGGAUUGGAUGGACCCAUAUUCACCUGGAAUAUUGCUACUUGCCAUUUAAAUCCCCAGGAUGGAAUUUUUACUCCACUUAGUGUAGUGGUGUUCAGCAAUAAAAUUCCACUGAACUGCAGUGAUAUUUAACAGCUCUUCUCUAGGAAUACCAAAGAAAACAUAAAAAGUAGAAUGGGUGCUGCUGACAAAUGAAAUUCUCAAUCUAACUAUAACCACCAUGUGGAACCUAUGGCUAUAUGUUUAUGCCUCCAGCAACUUCUGCUCCAGAUAUGGGUUCUGACUUGUGUGGAGUUGUGGGAAUACGUUGGCUAUGCAGAACUUUUGGUUUCUAAUGGCCAAAUCUAAACGGCUGCAGUUGCCAGCAGAUGCAGAAUAAGGAGUCUCCAGCUCAUGUUCUCUGACGCAAACAAUGGUCUGGCAGCUGUGCAUGAACAAAAGUGCCUUUGUGGGAGCUUUGGGAUCCAGGAAAGAGGUCAUAAAACCCUGGUGAAGCCGAAGAUGGAGGAGAGCUGCUCUGAGAAG